AUACGGGAGGCAGCAGUAAGGAAUAUUGGUCAAUGGACGCAAGUCUGAACCAGCCAUGCCGCGUGGAGGAUGAAGGUCCUCUGGAUUGUAAACUUCUUUUAUCGGAGAAGAAACCCUCGUUUUCUAAUGGGGUUGACGGUACCCGAUGAAUAAGCACCGGCUAACUCCGUGCCAGCAGCCGCGGUAAUACGGAGGGUGCAAGCGUUAUCCGGAUUCACUGGGUUUAAAGGGUGCGUAGGUGGGUUGGUAAGUCCGUGGUGAAAUCUCCGAGCUUAACUCGGAAACUGCCGUGGAUACUAUCAAUCUUGAAUACUGUGGAGGUAAGCGGAAUAUGUCAUGUAGCGGUGAAAUGCUUAGAUAUGACAUAGAACACCGAUAGCGGAGGCAGCUUGCUACACAGUCAUUGACACUGAGGCACGAAAGCGUGGGGAUCAAACAGGAUUAGAUACCCCGGUAGC
rnacentral:rRNA from 1 species